CUUCAGCGAGCCCAGGCGCAGCGGCGGCAACCCGUCGCGGCCCUGCCCGUAGGUGGCCAGCAGCGCGUGCGCCUC
rnacentral:antisense_RNA from 1 species